AGCGAACGCUGGCGGCAGGCCUAAUACAUGCAAGUCGAGCGGCCCUUCGGGGCAGCGGCGGACGGGUGAGUAACGCGUGGGAACGUGCCCUUUGGUACGGAACAACUGAGGGAAACUUCAGCUAAUACCGUAUGUGCCCUUCGGGGGAAAGAUUUAUCGCCAUUGGAGCGGCCCGCGUUGGAUUAGCUAGUUGGUGGGGUAAUGGCCCACCAAGGCUACGAUCCAUAGCUGGUCUGAGAGGAUGAUCAGCCACACUGGGACUGAGACACGGCCCAGACUCCUACGGGAGGCAGCAGUAGGGAAUCUUGCGCAAUGGGCGAAAGCCUGACGCAGCCAUGCCGCGUGAAUGAUGAAGGUCUUAGGAUUGUAAAAUUCUUUCACCGGGGAAGAUAAUGACGGUACCCGGAGAAGAAGCCCCGGCUAACUUCGUGCCAGCCGCCGCGGUAACAC
rnacentral:rRNA from 1 species